AGACAGCAGUCGCCGCGGUAAUACGGAGGGAGCUAGCGUUGUUCGGAAUUACUGGGCGUAAAGCGCGCGUAGGCGGUUACUCAAGUCAGAGGUGAAAGCCCGGGGCUCAACCCCGGAACUGCCUUUGAAACUAGGUGACUAGAAUCUUGGAGAGGUCAGUGGAAUUCCGAGUGUAGAGGUGAAAUUCGUAGAUAUUCGGAAGAACACCAGUGGCGAAGGCGACUGACUGGACAAGUAUUGACGCUGAGGUGCGAAAGCGUGGGGAGCAAACAGGAUUAGAUACCCGUGUAGUCCCUGUCUCUUAUAC
rnacentral:rRNA from 1 species